AGCGAACGCUGGCGGCAGGCCUAACACAUGCAAGUCGAACGGACCCUUCGGGGUUAGUGGCGGACGGGUGAGUAACACGUGGGAACGUGCCUUUAGGUUCGGAAUAGCUCCUGGAAACGGGUGGUAAUGCCGAAUGUGCCCUUCGGGGGAAAGAUUUAUCGCCUUUAGAGCGGCCCGCGUCUGAUUAGCUAGUUGGUGAGGUAAUGGCUCACCAAGGCGACGAUCAGUGGCCGGUCUGAGAGGAUGACAGCCACCCUGGGACUGAGACACGGCCCAGACUCCUACGGGAGGCAGCAGUGGGGAAUCUUGCGCAAUGGGCGAAAGCCUGACGCAGCCAUGCCGCGUGAAUGAUGAAGGUCUUAGGAUUGUAAAAUUCUUUCACCGGGGACGAUAAUGACGGUACCCGGAGAAGAAGCCCCGGCUAACUUCGUGCCAGCCGCCGCCGUAA
rnacentral:rRNA from 1 species